AGCAAUUUGGCGCAGUGGAAGCGCGGUAUGUGUGGCAUAACCCGGAGGUCCUACGAUCGAAACGUAGAAUUGCUA
rnacentral:tRNA from 1 species